rnacentral:rRNA from 1 species
UACAGAGGUCUCAAGCGUUGUUCGGAUUCAUUGGGCGUAAAGGGUGCGUAGGUGGCGUCGUAAGUCAGGUGUGAAAUCUCGGGGCUUAACUCCGAAACUGCAUUCGAUACUGCCGUGCUUGAGGACUGGAGAGGAGACUGGAAUUUACGGUGUAGCGGUGAAAUGCGUAGAUAUCUGGAGGAACACCGGUGGCGAAGGCGGCGUCCUGGACCAACACUGACACUGAGGAGCGAAAGCCAGGGGAGCAAACGGG